rnacentral:rRNA from 1 species
CGCAAGACCAAAGAGGGGGACCUUCGGGCCUCUUGCCAUCAGAUGUGCCCAGAUGGGAUUAGCUAGUAGGUGGGGUAAUGGCUCACCUAGGCGACGAUCCCUAGCUGGUCUGAGAGGAUGACCAGCCACACUGGAACUGAGACACGGUCCAGACUCCUACGGGAGGCAGCAGUGGGGAAUAUUGCACAAUGGGCGCAAGCCUGAUGCAGCCAUGCCGCGUGUGUGAAGAAGGCCUUCGGGUUGUAAAGCACUUUCAGCGAGGAGGAAGGUGGUGAACUUAAUACGUUCAUCAAUUGACGUUACUCGCAGAAGAAGCACCGGCUAACUCCGUGCCAGCAGCCGCGGUAAUACGGAGGGUGCAAGCGUUAAUCGGAAUUACUGGGCGUAAAGCGCACGCAGGCGGUUUGUUAAGUCAGAUGUGAAAUCCCCGGGCUCAACCUGGGAACUGCAUUUGAAACUGGCAAGCUAGAGUCUCGUAGAGGGGGGUAGAAUUCCAGGUGUAGCGGUGAAAUGCGUAGAGAUCUGGAGGAAUACCGGUGGCGAAGGCGGCCCCCUGGACGAAGACUGACGCUCAGGUGCGAAAGCGUGGGGAGCAAACAGGAUUAAAUACCCUGGUAGUCCACGCUGUAAACGAUGUCCAUUUUGGAGGU